rnacentral:misc_RNA from 1 species
UGCUAGGAGUGUGCAAGACUUACUAAAGAUGACAAUGAGAAACUUAACAUAUGCAGAAAUCAAAUGCAUAAAAGUGGUUGAUCCAUGUUGAUUACCUAUUAAGAAAGUUCAAGCAUGUCAAAUCAGAAUCAGGGUUCAUCCCAUGCUCCACUUUGCUACUCCACGCAAUGGCACAUAACAAUAAACCACAACCAAUUCCAGAAUAUAUCAUCCAAAUGCUAGCCCAAGUUAUUCUGACUAACAUUAGAUUAAGCCCUAGAGCAAUUUCAGCAGUUCAGUUAGGGCAUUAGAGACAGGGUUCAGAAUUCGUUUUGAUCCUCUUACAAUCUUUAGCACUUUCUCUAACAAUGGUAAGCAUUACAUUAGGUUAUCUGUCAACUACAUCAAACCCAGACCCCCCAUCCCG